rnacentral:rRNA from 1 species
GACGUAGGUGGCGAACGUUAUCCGGAAUUAUUGGGCGUAAAGGAUGCGUAGAUGGUGUAGUAAGUUAUCGGUGGUAAAUCGAGGCUCAACCUCGUGGAAGUCGGUAAUACUGUUAUGCUAGAGGAUAGGAGAGGUUAACGGAACUCCCUGUGGAGCGGUGAAAUGCGUAGAUAUAGGGAAGAACACCAAUAAAGGCGAAGGCAGUUAACUAUUCUAUUCCUGACAUUGAGGCAUGAAAGCGUGGGGAGCAAAACGG